CCCUUCGGGGAACCCGGUGACAGGUGCUGCAUGGCUGUCGUCAGCUCGUGUCGUGAGAUGUUGGGUUAAGUCCCGCAACGAGCGCAACCCUUGUCUUUAAUUGCCAUCAUUUAGUUGGGCACUUUAAAGAGACUGCCGGUGUUAAGCCGGAGGAAGGUGGGAUGACGUCAAGUCCUCAUGGCCUUUAUGCCCAGGGCUACACACGUGCUACAAUGGCCGGUACAAAGGGCAGCCACUCAGCGAUGAGGCGCUAAUCCCAUAAAGCCGGUCUCAGUCCGGAUCGCAGUCUGCAACUCGACUGCGUGAAGUUGGAAUCGCUAGUAAUCGCGGAUCAGCAUGCCGCGGUGAAUACCGGUUCCCGGCCUU
rnacentral:rRNA from 1 species